CCCGCAUUGGGUAUGGCUCCGACAGCCUUGACCACGAUGACGAGAAAUCCAAUGCUGGGAUAAGGCGCGUGUGGUGAUCUGCUCGUCUCUGAAGACAGCUAAUCCUACCAACACCUGAAAUUCUUGUCGGUGGAACACUCUUCCUCCAAACUGUCGUCAGGCACAAUCUGCUGGUACUUUUGCUCAACUCACAAAGAUUCACCUAGGGUUCCCUGUAACAAGGCCAUGCCUGUUGGGACUCCC